GGGAAGCUAAUUAAUUAAAAGGCCCAUAAGUAGGUGGGCUUAGAAGAAUUCCAGGAAGCUGUUGAAUUUUGGGCGGGUCCAGAAGGCGGCGCUAGGCAGAAAGAAGGGAAGUUCCGCGGUUUCAUCUUUCUUCUUGCAUCUCGGCUGCCUCGUGAUCAGGAAGUCAUGGAGGGAGACUAGUGCCUAGUAUUUGCGGUGCCUGAAAACUUUCUUAAGAAGCAGUUGUUUUGCUGGCCUCCUAGGACAUCCAGGAGCUGGUCCUGUCAUCUUCCAGGUUAGAGGAGCUGUUGGACUAGGAACCCGGCAGGAGCUGGGCAGCGGUGUGGAGCAGGGGUGCCUUUUCUGCCGCCAUUCUCACAAUUCAGUAUUUGCGGAACCUGAAAACUUCCUUAAGCUGCCGUUGCUCCUCCUAGGACAUUCAGCAGCUGAUCCUGUCACCUUCUAGGUCAGAGGAGCUGUUGGACUGGGAAAUGGGCAGGAGCUGGGCAGGUAUUCAUAUGCUCAGCUAAAUGUACAUAACUGUAAAUCAACACUAAGAGCACCGGAUGGUUAAGGUCAAGGAGAUUCUCACAAAGGAUCCAGAUUCAGAUUGUAGCAAGCAGGUUGCAAACCUGAGUAUGAUAUGGAUAACUCUGCUUCCUGCCCCAAUUUUCCUAGCAGUUUUUGUCACUAUGCAAGUUCCCACCAGGGUGUCUAAGAUGUCUGCUGAGAGUGAAUCGUCUGAUAUGAGGUUUUUUUCUCCAGAAGCUCUACUUGCUUUCUGAAUCACCUAUUCUGUCCAGUCUAAAUGUUUUUUUGUCCUUGACCUGUGUUCUUAUUGAUGCUCUGUGUUGCAUUAGUCCUGAUUAGAGUGGAAUAAUUAUUGUUGAUCUACUCUGUACUGUUUGCUUUAGUUUUGGGUCUGUUUGCCUUAUUUCUGAUGUAUGUUUCUUCUCUUAUAUUCUUGAGAGCUUUUAUACUGAGCAGUGUCUACUUUUUUUUUUUUCUUUUUGGUUUUUCGAGACAGGGUUUCUCUUUAUAGUUCUGGCUGUCCUGGAGCUCACUUUGUAGACCAGGCUGGCCUCGAACUCAGAAAUCCGCCCGCCUCUGCCUCCCGAGUGCUGGGAUUAUAGGCGUACGCCACCACGCCUGGCAGUGUCUACUUUUUACCCCAGGGCUCUAUAAGUAAGUUUCAUUCUCCUACUGUCACUGUAAUUUGGGAGGAUUUCUGCCUACAUCUAUUAACCUAGGCCUAGUCAUGUAAGCUUCUACUCUCCAUACAGUAUUAUCUAGGCCUGGUGUGUUUUCAGCCUCUGAAAUUUGCUGCUGAAUAAGCCCCCACCCUUUCUUACUCCUUCUCAAUGCUUACCUGGGUGAUUCAAUUUAGUUUUUCCAGCUCUAACUCCUCUCCCAGCGGAGUUCUUCUCUCAGACACUGAAUUGUUCCACUAGACCUUAAAUUAACUGUAGAAAUCUUUUGUGAUCCUCUGGCUCCUUCUCAUUCUCCUGCUCAUUCUGUCUUUGCCCAGGCCUAGCAUGUUCUCUCUUCAAUCUGACUCUGUAAAACUCUCCCAGUAAAACUGUGUCCUUCUCCCUCUCUGUGGAUCUACUCUCUCAACUGUACUGUACUGCAGCCCAUGCACUCUACUGUAUUCCUUUAUUAUUCUCUUCUUUUUGUAAUGUCUUUCUCUGUCUCAAGUAGCUUCUCUUUCCUCUCUCAUUACAGCAAAGUUGGGCAGAUCCUAUUCUGUCAGAUCUUUCUCUGAUAUUCCAUAUUUUCUGUCAUUCAAUUAGACAUUGCUUUCGAACAUGGAUGUGUUCUUCUACAUAUAAACUGUAGUUUUGAUAUUUUGGAUUAAAGUCAAUACUAAGGCCUUGCCUGUACUAAAACCAGAGCGAUUGAUGUUGUGUGUCUUGGGCUGAACCACACCCUAAGUCACAACAGGUUCAAGUAUCCCUACCCAGUGUGAUGUCAGUUUACUUCUGUACAAUUUCUUCUUUCUGAAAUGAAAACCAAGAUCCACAUAUACUACUCUUCAGUAUGUUGAUAUCUGUUUCAUUUUUUCUGACUUCUACUUGGGACUUUAUUAUAAUGUUCUUUGAAGAUCGGUCGAUGACAUUCUGUUCCUUGUGAGAUUAUAUUCCUUAGGAUUUUUAAUCUGGAAGAUUUUGCUGGUAGUGUAGGUGGCAAAGUAUGUUUACUUUGUUCUCAAUUCCUUGUGUGGGAUAGAGCUUUACUGUGUUGUAUAUGAGAAAUACUUACUAGUUCUUGUGUUUAUUCAUUCUUAGCAAGAAAUUUCUUAUUUCCUAUUUCAUGAAAAAUGUAUGCGUUAUUUUGUGCAUACUUUCAUCAAUUCAUUUUUAAAGUAGUUUUUUUGUUUGUUUAGUUGGUUUCUUUUUGUGGUUGUUGUUUGGUUUUACGAGACAGGGUUUCUUUGUGCAGUCCUGGCUAUCCUGGAACUCAGUUCAUAGACCAGGCUGGCCUCAAACUCAGAAAUCCACUUGACUCUGCCUCCCAAGUGCUGGGGUUAAAGGCAUGCUCCACCACUGCCCAGCUCUAAGCAGGUUUCUGACUAAAAAACAUGUCCUAAUGAAUUACUACAUUCAAAUUUAUUUUAUAUACUGUCAAUACUGUUAGCCACUUACUUUGGAUUGCCAAUUAUUUUCUCUGAGGACUUGAAAAAUAUUAUUCCAUUCACUCCUGCUUUUAACCUAUUUAUAACUAUUUAUUACUAAUGUAUGCUACUGUAGUGUCACCACACUGAUGGUAAGGGACAGGACAAGACAAUAGGAAAAGAGAUCUACAUUGUUAUAGCACUUAGAUGUGACAAAAGCCAGAUAUAUCUAGGAGUAGAGCAAGCCAAUCUGUAAUAGCGUUCCCUAGGGAAUGCUAAGCUAGUAUGCUAUGUUCUUCUUCUACUUAAGAAUCCCAGUGUCUGAACACACUACCCAUUACUAUUAUAGUUUGUCCACUUUCAAAAUAUUGGGAUGAAACAAGUGAUAGUAAAAAUUGACCGCAAGGCUGAUAAGGACAGAAUUAAGUCUCUUUAGAGUCAGAUAUGUACUUGAAGAAAUGCCAGUGUCAAGUUUUAAAGUCAAAGUCCUACUGUUCUUAUUGACUUCUUGGUGAAUGUAAUACCAUGGGUUAUUCUUCCCAUGUUAGAAUGAGCUCUUGUUCAGUCUCCAUAAGAUGAAAGAUGUACUUUUCCUGUUAUACACACAGACAAAAAUAAUUCCAUGAUAUACAUUCAUUCCAUGUAUUUACUGUUAUUGAAACUAAAGCCUAACAUAUAUCAGUCAUGCAGGAAUUUAGGAUCUGUUUCUGAAAUGUUGACAACAAUACUCACCCUUUAUGUCACAGGCAAGAUUCAUAAAGUGACAUGCUUUGUAAAAAUGUCCUGAUUAUUCCCUGAAUAUUCAUGCAUUCCUAUGCCCAGUUUUUCUAGCCCAUUUGAUGUUGUCUUGAAAUGCCUGGGUCAUAGAGAUUUACAUAUUAUAAAUUUAUGACAGCAUUAUAUUUUUCCCUAUAUCUACAUUUCCGUUCUACAGAAAGUCCUCUUACCACUCAAUUUCCCAUCACAUGAGUUAGGGAUUAUCCUCAUUUCUUUCAUGCAUGUUACAGCUGUUAGAAUAUUUACAGAGAAACAUUCUGGCAGAGUAUUUGUACUAUCCAUUUUCUUUGCUAUUGGAGGUAUUUCAAAGCUCCUAAAGUUUUCUUUAAUUUGUGCUAUUUAAAUCUCCUGGUGCUAGCAUUUUCAGGUGAAUGGCCUUUGUAGGAAAUUAGUGUGGAGGCUUUGCACAUCCUUGUCUCUCUCUGCUUAGUAGAAUAGAAGGAUGACAGAUGUCUUCAGUUUUUGUAGUGAUAGGUUUAGGAUGAUGGCUACUAUGUUUAUUAGACUCAGUCAUGUUCUUUCUUUCUUUCUUUUUUUUUUUUUAAAGAUUUGUUUUUUUUUAUGUAAGUACACUGUCUCUGUCUUCAAACACACCAGAAGAGGACAUCAGAUCCCAUUAAGAAUGGUUUGCUGGGAAUUGAACUCAGGACCUGAGUGAUGUUCUUUCUCUUCCACAUUCUUCAGAGCUUUCAUAGUGAUCCACUGUGAUAUUUUGCCCUAGGCCUUUCAUAGAUAUACUGACAUGGUUGAGAGCCUUCUCUCACUGAUUGUAUGUACUUUGUGCCUUGAGUUAUUUGGUUUGUGCUUUUUGAAACAGUCUUGCAUCUAUGGCAUGAAAUCAAGUUGAGUUCAUUUUCUAUAUCCAUUAGAGAGAAUUUCUUUAUUAUUUUAUUCAUGCAUAUUUUUAUGGUCAUUUGCUUUUGCAUCCCGGUACAGACAGCUUUGUGUGAUGACUGCACCACAUUCCCUACUUUCUGUAUUCUGCAAUGUUCUCUGUGCAAGAUGAUUGAGGGAUUUUCUAAAGAAAUUUGUGAAUUAGGUGCUACAUCUAUUUAGUCUCAGAUAGUGUUAAAAGAUACCCUGCAGGCCUUGAUUUCCAUACUUGCUUAUUGCUGGGCCUAGUGUUAAGACAUAGAAAGCUUUCUUGUUCACUUGUUCCUAGGAUAUCAUUUUUUUCCCUGUUAGUUCUCAUUAAUUGUGUAUGACUUUCUAUGGUACUCCAUCAUCUGCUAUUUCCCAGUUUCAAUAUAAACUAAUGAGGCAGGGGCAUCAAAAGAGACCACCUGUAUACCCGUUAAAAGCUAAGAGAAAUAUUUGACAUGAGAGAACUAUAAGGUCAAUGUAAUACAAAAAUUUGCUGAAUAUUUGCUUAUACCAACUUUGUGUAGUAAUAGUAUCUUGAUGUUUAGAAUGAGUUCUUAUGUUUUUAUUCAUGCAUAAAUAUGUUUGUGUGUAUGUAUGUAUGUAUGUAUGUAUAUAUGUAUAUAUGUGUAUAUAUAUAUGCAUUAGUAUUUAUUUCAGGAGACCCUGUCAUACAUUCUUACUUUCUUUUUUUUUUUUUUUUUUUUUUCCUUUUCUUGGCUUUUUGAGAUAGACAUUCUUACUUUCAUUUGGAACUACAACAUCGUUACCAGGUAGAAUCUUUGUCUGUAUUCCAAGACAACAGGGCACAUAUAGUACAUAGAUACACUGUAUCUGCCUGUGAGAAUGAAAUGGAAUCUCAUCAUAGGGUUAGGUGUGGUAUUCUAGUAUGAUAUCUAAUGAAAUACUAUUCAACUGUGGGCAUCAUUCAUGGUGGGCACUAGCCAUUUGUCUUUGACUCUAGACCCAGGAAGAUAAGUUCUCAAUAACAACCCUGAUAAUAGUGUUUUACAGCCUGGAUGCAUAUACUCUGUGUUUAUGUCAGGUGUCCAUUGAAGUCAGAAAGAGUCCUAGGAUUAUAUUCAUAUUCCUUACUACACUAAAUAUGUCACUCCAUGCUCUCAUGUCUGUAGAAAUGUUGGCAAGAUUCCUUGUAUCAUGUUGCUUUUAAUGUCAUUUCAUGUGGUUUAUCAUUGUCCAUUACAUUG